rnacentral:rRNA from 1 species
UACAUGUGGGGCAAGCGUUGUUCGGAAUUACUGGGCAUAAAGGGUGCGUAGGUGGUUUGUUAAGUCAGGGGUGAAAUCCCGCGGCCCAACCGUGGAACUGCCUUUGAUACUGGCGAACUUGAGUGCGUGAGGGGUAGGGGGAACGAGCAGUGUAGCGGUGAAAUGCGUAGAUAUUGGGAAGAACACCAGUGGCGAAGGCGGCGACCUGGACGGACAUUGACGCUGAGACGCGAAAGCGUGGGGAGCAAACAGG